AUUGAACGCUGGCGGCAGGCCUAACACAUGCAAGUCGAACGAGUGGCGGACGGGUGAGUAAUGUCUGGGAAACUGCCUGAUGGCGGGGGAUAACUACUGGAAACGGUAGCUAAUACCGCAUACCAUCGAAUGUGCCCAGAUGGGAUGAGCUAGUAGGUGGGGUAACGGCUCACAUAGGCGACGAUCCCUAACUGGUAUGAGAGGAGGACCAGCCACACUGGAACUGAGACACGGUCCAGACUCCUACGGGAGGCAGCAGUGGGGAAGAUUGCACAAUGGGCGCAAGCCUGAUGCAGCCAUGCCGCGUGUAUGAAGAAGGCCGUCGGGUUGUAAAGUACUUUCAGCGGGGAGGCGUUACCCGCAGAAGAAGCACCGGCUAACUCCGUGCCAGCCGCCGCGGUAAUAC
rnacentral:rRNA from 1 species